rnacentral:rRNA from 1 species
UACGGAGGGCGCAAGCGUUGUUCGGAAUUACUGGGCGUAAAGCGCGCGUAGGCGGCCUUGCAAGUAGGAUGUGAAAUCCCGGGGCUCAACCCGGGAACUGCCUUCAUGACUGCAAAGCUUGAGGAUGUGAGAGGGUGGCGGAAUUCCGAGUGUAGAGGUGAAAUUCGUAGAUAUCCGGAAGAACACCAGUGGCGAAGGCGGCCAACUGGCACAUUUCUGACGCUGAGGUGCGAAAGCGUGGGGAGCAAACAGG